UGUAGUCUGGAGACGGGUCUUCUCGGCGGCGAGACCUCCCGAAGUCGUCUUGGAAAGGCGCGCCGGAAAGGGUGAGAGCCCCGGGCGCGGGAACGUCUCGCCGCCCCGACAAGUCCCUGUCGUAAAGUCGGGUUGUUUGGGAAUGCAGCCCAAAGCGGGUGGUAAACUCCAUCCAAGGCUAAGUACGGGCACGAGACCGAUGGCGAACAAGUACCGUGAGGGAAAGAUGAAAAGCACUUUGAAAAGAGAGUCAAAUAGUGCGUGAACCCGUUGGGAGGGAAGAGAAUGCGGGUGGCUCAGUCCCGUUCGGGUUCAGGCGGCGCGGCGGUCGCCACUGGCCGGUCGGAUCCGUCAGGACCGACCUCCGGUGGAUCGUUCGCCGCGCCAUGCCGCAUUCCCGUCGGGUCCGGUCAGCGAGAGUACGCCGGCGUCCGAGGAGGGGAGGCGAGAGUUGGUGCGCGCUUUCGGGCUCGCACUCUGCUGGUCUCCGUCCAGGAUGCCGCGGACUGAGGAUAGCGGCGUCGAUCGCCCAAGCAGCGCAAGCCCCAGGGCCGGACGGGCGUUCCGGGCCGAGGCGUCCGCGCGGGACUGCUCGCAGUGUCGCGCGCGUCGUCGGAGUCCGGGGCGUCGCGGUCACGAUUCGCGCUGAGGUCGCUGGCUUCCCGCCGCCCCCAUCCGUCCCGUCUUGAAACACGGACCAAGGAGUGCAACCCGUGCGCGAGUCUUGGGGUGGCAAUCCCCGGGGCGCAGUGAGAGCGAAGGCGCGCCCGACGCGCCGAGGCGGGAGCCGAGCGGGCGUCGUUCCGCCGGCGCACCGUCGACCGAUUCCGUCCACUCCGUGGUGGGAUUCGAGUGAGAGCGUGCCUGUUGCGACCCGAAAGAUGGUGAACUAUGCCCGAGCAGGGCGAAGCCAGGGGAAACCCUGGUGGAGGCCCGCAGCGGUUCUGACGUGCAAAUCGAUCGUCUGAUUUGGGUAUAGGGCGAAAGA
rnacentral:rRNA from 1 species